rnacentral:rRNA from 1 species
AGAGUUUGAUCCUGGCUCAGGAUGAACGCUAGCUACAGGCUUAACACAUGCAAGUCGAGGGGCAGCAUUUUAGUUUGCUUGCAAACUGAAGAUGGCGACCGGCGCACGGGUGAGUAACACGUAUCCAACCUGCCGAUAACUCCGGAAUAGCCUUUCGAAAGAAAGAUUAAUACCGGAUGGCAUACGAAUAUCGCAUGAUAUUUUUAUUAAAGAAUUUCGGUUAUCGAUGGGGAUGCGUUCCAUUAGUUUGUUGGCGGGGUAACGGCCCACCAAGACUACGAUGGAUAGGGGUUCUGAGAGGAAGGUCCCCCACAUUGGAACUGAGACACGGUCCAAACUCCUACGGGAGGCAGCAGUGAGGAAUAUUGGUCAAUGGGCGCGAGCCUGAACCAGCCAAGUAGCGUGAAGGAUGAAGGCUCUAUGGGUCGUAAACUUCUUUUAUAUGGGAAUAAAGUUUUCCACGUGUGGAAUUUUGUAUGUACCAUAUGAAUAAGGAUCGGCUAACUCCGUGCCAGCAGCCGCGGUAAUACGGAGGAUCCGAGCGUUAUCCGGAUUUAUUGGGUUUAAAGGGAGCGUAGGUGGGUUGUUAAGUCAGUUGUGAAAGUUUGCGGCUCAACCGUAAAAUUGCAGUUGAAACUGGGAGUCUUGAGUACAGUAGAGGUGGGCGGAAUUCGUGGUGUAGCGGUGAAAUGCUUAGAUAUCACGAAGAACUCCGAUUGCGAAGGCAGCUCACUAGUCUGUUACUGACACUGAUGCUCGAAAGUGUGGGUAUCAAACAGGAUUAGAUACCCUGGUAGUCCACACAGUAAACGAUGAAUACUCGCUGUCUGCGAUAUACAGUAAGCGGCCAAGCGAAAGCAUUAAGUAUUCCACCUGGGGAGUACGCCGGCAACGGUGAAACUCAAAGGAAUUGACGGGGGCCCGCACAAGCGGAGGAACAUGUGGUUUAAUUCGAUGAUACGCGAGGAACCUUACCCGGGCUUAAAUUGCAACAGAAUAUAUUGGAAACAGUAUAGCCGUAAGGCUGUUGUGAAGGUGCUGCAUGGUUGUCGUCAGCUCGUGCCGUGAGGUGUCGGCUUAAGUGCCAUAACGAGCGCAACCCUUAUCUUUAGUUACUAACAGGUUAUGCUGAGGACUCUAGAGAGACUGCCGUCGUAAGAUGUGAGGAAGGUGGGGAUGACGUCAAAUCAGCACGGCCCUUACGUCCGGGGCUACACACGUGUUACAAUGGGGGGUACAGAAGGCGGCUACCUGGUGACAGGAUGCUAAUCCCAAAAACCUCUCUCAGUUCGGAUCGAAGUCUGCAACCCGACUUCGUGAAGCUGGAUUCGCUAGUAAUCGCGCAUCAGCCAUGGCGCGGUGAAUACGUUCCCGGGCCUUGUACACACCGCCCGUCAAGCCAUGAAAGCCGGGGGUACCUGAAGUACGUAACCGCAAGGAGCGUCCUAGGGUAAAACUGGUAAUUGGGGCUAAGUCGUAACAAG